GGAGGGCAAUGCUGAUCGGAUGAAAGCACUUUGAGCUAGUACCAGCCAUCUUUCUCCUUCCUCUCUGUCCAGAAGGAGCAUGGUUUAUCCUGGAUGGCUGCAUACAAGGCUGUUUACACUGCCUGAUUCAUGGCCAUAUUCUGAGUUUCCUACUUGUGUUUUUUUUAGCUUACUUCGUUUUGAGACAAGCAAGGGGGACAUAUCGCAAAGGGGAAGGAAGUGCCUGUUCUAGGACUGUUCAAAGAAAAACAAGCGAUGCAAGGAGCACGCCAACAACUACCUUGACAACAUGAAAUGUCUGUCAUACGGCAAAUCAUUUCUGCAAUGGUGAAUCGUCUCCAAAUCGUCACCUUCUUAAAAUAUCUGAAAAAUACAAUGGCUGGAAGAAUAAACCUAGUAAACUAAAAAGAAGCCAAAGUGGAUUUAGUUUUUCUUUCUCAAGGCAUGAUCGUGGGUGCCUCUUCAUUGAAAGCAUCGAUGAAGAACUUCAAGGUUGACAAUCUUGAACUUGACAAAUCACCGGGUCUUAAAGACAAUAAGGUGCCUUACAGUUACCAACUUUGAGCUACUGGACAAAAGCUUGAAUGAACGACCAAACGUCUUGGAUUGCCUGGGUCCGGUCUCGCACUGUGGAACAGCAAGAAGAGACGGCGAUGCAUGGACUAAAACCAGGAGACUUCAAUGCCAAGGAUCAGACACACGCCAGCGUAAUGUCGAAAAACCAUGGACACAGGCUGGAGGUGGUGGAAAUCAGACUGGCCCAGAAACAAGGUAGCCCCUUUUAGAGAGAAUUACAGCCCGUCAAACAGACAUAGCAUGAGAGGCACAA